UACAGGGGGGGCAAGCGUUGUUCGGAAUUACUGGGCGUAAAGGGCUCGUAGGCGGCCAACUAAGUCCGACGUGAAAUCCCAAAGCUUAACUUUGGAACUGCGUCGGAUACUGGAUGGCUUGAAUUCGGGAGAGGGAUGCAGAAUUCCAGGUGUAGCGGUGAAAUGCGUAGAUAUCUGGAGGAACACCAGCGGCGAAGGCGGCGCUCUGGGCCGGAACUGACGCUGAGGAGCGAAAGCGUGGGUAGCAAACAGG
rnacentral:rRNA from 1 species